GAUGAACGCUGGCGGCGUGCCUAAUACAUGCAAGUCGAGCGAACGGACGGGAAGCUGCCUUCUCUGCUGUAGGCGGCGGACGGGUGAGAAACACGGGGCAACCCUACCUAUAAGCCUGGGAUACCUUCGGGAACCCGGAGCUAAUACCGGAAGAUCUUUUGCACCGAAUGGGUCAAAGGUGAAAGACGCUCUUCCUGUCCCUUAUCGGUGGAUCCGCGCUGCAUUUGCUAGUUGGUUAGGUAACGGCUUACCAAGGCAACGAUGCAUAGCCGACCUGAGAGGGUGAUCGGCCACACUGGAACUGAGACACGGUCCAGACUCCUACGGGAGGCAGCAGUAGGGAAUCUUCCGCAAUGGACGAAAGCCUGACGGAGCAACGCCGCGUGAGUGAUGAAGGUCUUCGGAUCGUAAAACUCUGUUAUUAGGGAAGAACAUAUGUGGAAGUAACUGUGCACAUCUUGACGGUACCUAAUCAGAAAGCCACGGCUAACUACGUG
rnacentral:rRNA from 1 species